rnacentral:rRNA from 1 species
UGGCGGCAUGCUUAACNCAUGCAAGUCGAACGGAAUGCUUCGGCAUUCAGUGGCGCACGGGUGAGUAACACGUGGGAACCUACCCUGGGAUGGGGAAUAACCACUGGAAACGGUGGCUAAUACCGCAUACGCCCUACGGGGGAAAGGCUUCGGCCGUCCGAGGAGGGGCCCGCGCCCGAUUAGCUUGUUGGUGGGGUAAUGGCCUACCAAGGCUACGAUCGGUAGCUGGUCUGAGAGGAUGAUCAGCCACACUGGGACUGAGAUACGGNCCAGACUCCUACGGGAGGCAGCAGUGGGGAAUAUUGGACAAUGGGCGAAAGCCUGAUCCAGCAAUGCCGCGUGAGUGAUGAAGGNCUUAGGGUUGUAAAGCUC